rnacentral:rRNA from 1 species
UAGCGAAAGCUAAUUGCAAAUAUCGACUCUGUCGAAUAAAAUUCUAGGUAGAAUUAUGAUGAUGACAUUGUCUGCCUAUGUGUCUUGACCAAAUUACGUGCCAGCAGUCGCGGUAAUACGUAGAAGACUAGUGUUAUUCAUCUUUAAUAGGUUUAAAGGGUACCUAGACGGUAAAUCAAGCACUAAUUUACUAGAGUUACUUAUGAGGGGGUAUUAAAGUACUGAUGGUGUAGAGAUGAAAUUCUUUGAUACCUCUUCUACAUGGCACAGGUAUAGGCGAAAGCAUCCCCUUAUGUGAUAACUGACGUUGAAGGACGAAGG